GCCCCUGUUGGCUUAGCUGGUUAGAGCAUGGUGCUGACGAUGCCAAGGUUGCAGGUUCGAUUCUUUGUAUGGGACA